rnacentral:rRNA from 1 species
UUACUACUUGGAUAACCGUGGUAAUUCUAGAGCUAAUACAUGCUAAAAACCUCGACUUCGGAAGGGGUGUAUUUAUUAGAUAAAAAACCAAUGCCCUUCGGGGCUCCUUGGUGAAUCAUAAUAACUUAACGAAUCGCAUGGCCUUGCGCCGGCGAUGGUUCAUUCAAAUUUCUGCCCUAUCAACUUUCGAUGGUAGGAUAGUGGCCUACCAUGGUAUCAACGGGUAACGGGGAAUUAGGGUUCGACUCCGGAGAGGGAGCCUGAGAAACGGCUACCACAUCCAAGGAAGGCAGCAGGCGCGCAAAUUACCCAAUCCCGACACGGGGAGGUAGUGACAAUAAAUACUGAUACAGGGCUCUUUUGGGUCUUGUAAUUGGAAUGAGUACAAUUUAAAUCCCUUAACGAGGAACAAUUGGAGGGCAAGUCUGGUGCCAGCAGCCGCGGUAAUUCCAGCUCCAAUAGCGUAUAUUAAAGUUGUUGCAGUUAAAAAGCUCGUAGUUGAACCUUGGGCCUGGCUGGCCGGUCCGCCUCACCGCGUGUACUGGUCCGGCCGGGCCUUUCCUUCUGGGGAACCGCAUGCCCUUCACUGGGCGUGCCGGGGAACCAGGACUUUUACUUUGAAAAAAUUAGAGUGUUCAAAGCAGGCCUUUGCUCGAAUACAUUAGCAUGGAAUAAUAGAAUAGGACGUGUGGUUCUAUUUUGUUGGUUUCUAGGACCGCCGUAAUGAUUAAUAGGGAUAGUCGGGGGCAUCAGUAUUCAAUUGUCAGAGGUGAAAUUCUUGGAUUUAUUGAAGACUAACUACUGCGAAAGCAUUUGCCAAGGAUGUUUUCAUUAAUCAGUGAACGAAAGUUAGGGGAUCGAAGACGAUCAGAUACCGUCGUAGUCUUAACCAUAAACUAUGCCGACUAGGGAUCGGACGGUGUUAUUAUUUUGACCCGU